rnacentral:rRNA from 1 species
GAUGAACGCUGGCGGCGUGCCUAAUACAUGCAAGUCGAGCGAACAGAUAAGGAGCUUGCUCCUUUGACGUUAGCGGCGGACGGGUGAGUAACACGUGGGUAACCUACCUAUAAGACUGGGAUAACUUCGGGAAACCGGAGCUAAUACCGGAUAACAUUUGGAACCGCAUGGUUCUAAAGUGAAAGAUGGUUUUGCUAUCACUUAUAGAUGGACCCGCGCCGUAUUAGCUAGUUGGUAAGGCAACGGCUUACCAAGGCGACGAUACGUAGCCGACCUGAGAGGGUGAUCGGCCACACUGGAACUGAGACACGGUCCAGACUCCUACGGGAGGCAGCAGUAGGGAAUCUUCCGCAAUGGGCGAAAGCCUGACGGAGCAACGCCGCGUGAGUGAUGAAGGGUUUCGGCUCGUAAAACUCUGUUAUUAGGGAAGAACAAAUGUGUAAGUAACUGUGCACGUCUUGACGGUACCUAAUCAGAAAGCCACGGCUAACUACGUG